AAACAUACUUACCAUGUAUACCAAUGCCACUUCACUCUCUUCCUCUCUCUCUCUCUCUCUCUCUCUCCUUUUCACGCAAAAUGAGCGUUUCUCUAUCUCUGUGCUCUUCCAUUGCCUUUAAAAGCUUUUGUCUUGCUCUCCCUAGAAACCACAAUCACAAUGCUUGUUUUUGGUACUGGUAGCUUAGUCUUGCUGCUAUUGUAGUAUGUCUGUCUGUCCACUGUGGGAGUGAGUGAAGCAUAUGUGUGUGUGUCUGUUUGGUUUAGCUAAAAUUUCGGAGUAAAAAAAGUACUACAUUGUUUUGGUCUAAGCUGUUCAGCUUUUGUUUGUUCGAUUUUUAAGGUUCUUAACAGCACUAAAUUUUGAAACUUUCAUCUCUGUUAUAGCUACUGAUUACUCAAGGUGAUGCUUUUUUUUCAGUUUGCAUGUACAUUUUUGUGAUCUGGGUGUUGCCCAUUUGGAGCAUUCAAGCAUAUUCCAAAACCCAUUUGGGGUUGAGUGAUUUUGGGUUUAUAUGAUCAAGGGUUGGGUAUGCACUAAUGGGUGUUUUUGAAUUUUGAUUAUUUAAUCGGUUUUUGUGUUUCUGGGUUGUUUUAUUUUUGUUUUGGUGGUUUUUGAUUGCUAAGGUUAUAUGCUGCUGCAUUUUGAUGUUUUUGGGUUUGGGGAGGUUGUGUUAAAAUAGACUGGAAUGGUGGUGAUUGCUGAAAUGGGAUGCUUUUGAGAUAUGAGAGUUAGUUUAGGGAUUUGAGAGAUGGGGUUAGGUCCUGAUGCUUUUAAUGUUGGGGCUUGGGAUGUGGAAAAAUCAAAGGGAAGGAAAAAGAAAGAUGAAGAAAAUGAGAUGACAGGAUGUUGGUUUAAGUUUAGGUUCAUUGGAAGCUGCAUGUCUUCAAAGUCCAAAGUGGAUGGCUCUAUGAGUGGCACUAGCACUCAAUAUGCGGAGAGUAAAUCUACAAAUGAUACCAGCCAAGACCAGCCAGUUGCUCCUGUUGUGUCAUCCUCGACAACUAGCAUAGCAGAAAGUACUCCAUCAACUCCCAACUUGGUUGAGGAAUUGAAAGUUGCUUCACAACUUCGAAAAUUCAGUUUUAAUGAGCUUAAGUCAUCAACGAGGAGUUUUAGACCUGAGAGUCUUCUUGGGGAGGGUGGGUUUGGUUGCGUAUUCAAGGGUUGGAUCAAUGAGAAUGGAACUGCUCCGGUGAAACCUGGAACAGGGGUUGCAGUUGCAGUAAAGACCCUCAACCAUGAUGGACUACAAGGUCAUAAAGAAUGGCUGGCUGAAGUUAAUUAUCUCGGUGACCUUCUCCACCCUAAUUUGGUUAAAUUAAUUGGUUAUUGCAUUGAGGAUGAUCAGAGGCUACUUGUCUAUGAGUUUAUGCCUCGAGGAAGCUUGGAGAAUCACCUUUUUCGAAGGUCCCUGCCUCUUCCUUGGUCCAUCAGAAUGAAAGUUGCCCUUGGUGCUGCAAAGGGCCUUGCCUUUCUUCAUGAGGAAGCUGAAAAGCCAGUUAUAUAUCGAGAUUUUAAAACAUCUAAUAUCCUGUUGGAUGCGGAUUACAAUGCAAAACUUUCUGAUUUUGGACUUGCCAAAGAUGGUCCAGAAGAUGGGAAAACUCAUGUAUCUACCCGAGUGAUGGGAACUUAUGGUUAUGCUGCCCCGGAGUAUGUGAUGACAGGACAUCUUACAUCGAAGAGUGAUGUCUAUAGCUUUGGGGUUGUUUUGCUUGAAAUGGUGACUGGCCGAAGAUCCAUGGACAAAACCCGACCAAAUGGGGAGCAUAACUUGGUGGAAUGGGCAAGGCCACAUCUUGGAGAGAGGCGAAGGUUCUAUCGACUUCUAGAUCCUCGGCUCGAAGGCCGCUUCUCAGUCAAAGGUUCUCAAAAAGCGCUUCAGUUGGCUGCCCACUGCCUUAGUCCUGACCCUAAAGCCAGACCUCUGAUGAGUGAAGUUGUUGAAGCACUAAAGCCUUUGCCCAACCUCAAGGACAUGGCCUGCUCUUCAUCAUUCUUUCAGGCUAUGCAAGCAGAGCGUCUGGGGUCCUACCCAAAUGCUAGAAACUGCAGUAGAAUCCAGACAGGGUUUUCUAGGAAUGGACAACCAACAAGGAGCCUCUCCAUACCAAAUGGUCCGCAUGCGUCUCCAUAUCACCAUCACCAUCUUCACCGCUCCCCAAAACCAAGUGUUUCAAAGCCAUAACAUUGAGAACCAUAUUAUCUCUUCUGUACCCAUUUUGUCUCCUUUUCUUUUUAUGUCAUCUUUUUAGGGAUGUAGGAAUCUUUCCCAACAGAAGAAAAAAAAAAUCUGGGGGUUGUUUUGAAAAUCAAUUUCGAUGUUUUCUUUAUGAGAGAUGACAGUGUGGCUUGCUCUCUAUGUUUUGGAGAUUGGAGUUUUGUCUUUUUGAUAUGUAACUGGUGAAGUUGCCCUGGAGAGAAUCAUGAAGCUGCACUUAUAUGGAGGGAGUAUUAAUCCAAGUUACUGUGUUCUGUUGAAUUUUGAAGUGGAGAUUUUCUAUCCAACUUUGGCAGACUACUUGCUCUUGAUUCAUCACAUCAGAACAGCAGAUGCUUUUAUAUGAUGCUUCAGGUGAACUAUUCAACUAUUCUUUAGAUUUUGCCAUCUAGUUUCAAUGCAAAUUUUUUUUUGUGAAAUUCCUUGUAGCUUCAAAUAUGUAAUAAUAUGAUAUUCUCCCAUCAUAAGACCUUGAUGACACAUCUACACCCCCUUUUUAAUUAA